GACGAACGCUGGCGGCGUGCUUAACACAUGCAAGUCGAACGCUGAAGCUUGGUGCUUGCACUGGGUGGAUGAGUGGCGAACGGGUGAGUAAUACGUGAGUAACCUGCCCUUGACUCUGGGAUAAUCCUGGGAAACUGGGUCUAAUACUGGAUACGACAUGUCACCGCAUGGUGGUGUGUGGAAAGGGUUUUACUGGUUUUGGAUGGGCUCACGGCCUAUCAGCUUGUUGGUGGGGUAAUGGCUCACCAAGGCGACGACGGGUAGCCGGCCUGAGAGGGUGACCGGCCACACUGGGACUGAGACACGGCCCAGACUCCUACGGGAGGCAGCAGUGGGGAAUAUUGCACAAUGGGCGGAAGCCUGAUGCAGCGACGCCGCGUGAGGGAUGACGGCAUUCGGGUUGUAAACCUCUUUCAGCACGGAAGAAGCGAAAGUGACGGUACGUGCAGAAGAAGCGCCGGCUAACUACGUG
rnacentral:rRNA from 1 species